rnacentral:rRNA from 1 species
AGCGAAAGCAUGGGGAGCGAACAGGAUUAGAUACCCUGGUAGUCCAUGCCGUAAACGUUGGGCACUAGGUGUGGGGGACAUUCCACGUUUUCCGCGCCGUAGCUAACGCAUUAAGUGCCCCGCCUGGGGAGUACGGCCGCAAGGCUAAAACUCAAAGGAAUUGACGGGGGCCCGCACAAGCGGCGGAGCAUGCGGAUUAAUUCGAUGCAACGCGAAGAACCUUACCAAGGCUUGACAUUCACCGGACCGCCCCAGAGAUGGGGUUUCCCUUCGGGGCUGGUGGACAGGUGGUGCAUGGUUGUCGUCAGCUCGUGUCGUGAGAUGUUGGGUUAAGUCCCGCAACGAGCGCAACCCUCGUUCUAUGUUGCCAGCACGUGAUGGUGGGGACUCAUAGGAGACUGCCGGGGUCAACUCGGAGGAAGGUGGGGAUGACGUCAAAUCAUCAUGCCCCUUAUGUCUUGGGCUUCACGCAUGCUACAAUGGCCGGUACAAAGGGUUGCGAUACUGUGAGGUGGAGCUAAUCCCAAAAAGCCGGUCUCAGUUCGGAUUGAGGUCUGCAACUCGACCUCAUGAAGUCGGAGUCGCUAGUAAUCGCAGAUCAGCAACGCUGCGGUGAAUACGUUCCCGGGCCUUGUACACACCGCCCGUCAAGUCACGAAAGUUGGUAACACCCGAAGCCGGUGGCCUAACCCCUUGUGGGAGGGAGCCGUCGAAGGUGGGACUGGCGAUUGGGACUAAGU